GAACAAUCCCAUCAGCCACCAGACUCAACAUCUGCACAUCACUCAACUCUGUCACACAUGUUCAGGAAGUGCUUAAAUCUGAAGCAGAACGCUGAACUUUAAAGAUUCUUCAAGUGUGUUUUUGUCAUAAUAAAUACUGAUGAUUAUUUGAGCUUCUCUUUCAGUGUCAGAUUUUUAAAACUCUUAUUUGUAAGGCUUUAUUGUUUAUAUUUCUCUCAGAGACACACAGAUCUCACUUUACUACUACUGCUGUAUAUUUGUCAUGUGUAUUUUACACUGUUGUUGAUGAUCAAAUUAAAAUAGCAUCUUUUUAAUGUGUCUGACGGAGUUGACACAAAUUCAGUUCUGAAGUACAUUUUUAGAAGAAAACAUUUUCAGAAAAACCUGUUCCCUUACAUGUUCAUUAUCUGAGACCUUUGUCUACAAAUAUAUCAGUUUAUAAUAAUGUGUUAUUAAAUAAUAAAAACUAACAUCUCAAA